UAGGUGUUGUCGUGACAAAGAAGGAGCCUCCUUUAAGAGCAUACACGUAGAAAGUUGAGAGCAUCGUGUGUUUGUCUGCAUGUCACUUCAUGGAGUCCUAUCUUUUUCUUUCUUUAUUUUUCUUAAAUUCAUUAUAUAUUAUUAUGACUCUCCACCACUCCUUUAUUUCUUCAAAGCUUCUCAAACUCUUAUUUCCUCUUUCAUGUUUAUGUGAGUUUUGGAAUUUAUUUCUGUCGGAAAAAAAUUCAACAAGAAAAACACAACUCAAAGUAGUUUUAGGUAGACAAGGAGGCAGAGAGAAUUGUAGAACUAGAAGAUGCAUGUACUAGUGAUAUCGUUGCCUUUGGCUAUAUUGGUAUUGAUCAUACUAGCCAUUAUUUGUUACCUCUUUGGAAGAAGAAGGGGUCGAUGGUGAUUAAUUAAUUAUUCAAAAUGCUUUAUUAUGGCUCCUCCAAGCUCUUGUUGGAUACAGGCUAAAAGAAAAA